rnacentral:rRNA from 1 species
CAAAUUGAGAGUUUGAUCCUGGCUCAGGAUGAACGCUGGCGGCGUGCCUAAUACAUGCAAGUCGAACGCUUUGUGGUUCAACUGAUUUGAAGAGCUUGCUCAGAUAUGACGAUGGACAUUGCAAAGAGUGGCGAACGGGUGAGUAACACGUGGGAAACCUACCUCUUAGCAGGGGAUAACAUUUGGAAACAGAUGCUAAUACCGUAUAACAAUAGCAACCGCAUGGUUGCUACUUAAAAGAUGGUUCUGCUAUCACUAAGAGAUGGUCCCGCGGUGCAUUAGUUAGUUGGUGAGGUAAUGGCUCACCAAGACGAUGAUGCAUAGCCGAGUUUAGAGACUGAUCGGCCACAAUGGGACUGAGAC